AUAAAAAACGCAACUUAAUUGAGAAAGUGACGAAACAGACAAACUUAUUAAGAUAAUUCGUAUAUUGAAUAGUCGAAAAUUAGCGAUUCGUUUAAUAACUACACCGUUGUAAAAAUGACGAGCGACGAAAAAAGCUAUGACUCCAGCGAGGCGGAAGAUCGUCGCACCAGGCAUAAAAAGUCCAAAAAACACAAGAAGCAUAAGAAAAGCGAUAAGGUGCAUAAGAAGCAUAAGAAGGCGAAGAAGCGUCACCAUAGCGAGACCUCGAAUGCGUCUGACGGCGGUUUGGAGAAUGACAAACAGAUUCAUCGCAGUAGUGGGCUCAGUAGCAAGUUCACGGAAAUUAUGCAAAAGGCCGGCUAUGAGCAAAAAACUGCACGCCGUGUGGAGCAGAACACCAAUGGUGUCGAUUUUCGCAUUAUAAAACCAAAUAUUCAAACAGAUCCCUGCAGCCUGGUUGAGGAAAUAACAAAGACCAUACAGAACAAAGUGCUACCAGUGUUAGAGGUGGCAAGUUCGGGUAGUGAAAGUGAUGUUCCCAUCGACGUGGCUAGCCCUGUUAUUUCGCCUAUACACGAGGAUGAGCUAAACCUAGAAGAAUUGAUGAAACAAAAAGCGCUGCUACAAGCCCGUCUUGGAGCAUACAUGUCGGACACCGAGGGCGAUGAUAGUCGUUCCAAUUCGGUGCUGGUAAAGCGCCCGCGUGAAGACAGCGCCGAAAGCAAAAGAAGGGCCAUGCAGACGAUGGUGGUGGCCCCUCCUACUACGGUGCUCACAGACGCCCGCAGGCCAACGUCACAGGUGCCGAGCAGCAAGUCUGCGUCGUCAGUAGCUACGGCAACUAGUAAACAUGUUAAUAAUAAACAAUCUAGCACCCAUAACUCAAAUGAAUCCGAUGUUAUAUUAUUGGAUGAUUCUAGCGGUGGCCAGCGCACGCCAACGCCCACUUCAGAGAAGCGACGGCGACGUUUGUCUCCUGAACCGAGAAGCCGCACUCGUGAGGAAAAGUCAACAGCAACGGCAUCACGUCACCAUUCGGAACAGCAGCACAGAGAUACAAGGGAGCUUCAUCAAUCCAGAGACAGAGCGACUGCAGCACGUAGUGAAAGGGAACACAGUCGUACGCCGCGUCGGCGCGAAGAUGAGAAGCGCAGCCACAGCCGACAGAGACGCAGCAACCAGGAGAAUAAUCGGAAUAUGGAGGACUUGCGUCAAGAGAUUAAUCGGGAUAAGCAGCGUGAGCGGCGUGAAAUAAGUCGAGACCGUCGUGACAGACCACAUACCAAUGAGAGAGAUGGACGGCCACGGGAGCGGGAUCGUUGGAUGCGUCAGCGUUCACAUAGUCGCAGUAAAGUAGAGUCGGACAGAAGACGCGAACGUGAGCGGCAGCGUGAUAGAGAUCGCACAGGGCAUAACGAUCGUGGAAGGUCAGGAAAUGGCGUUGGUGGUAAUGAACGCGAUCGCUAUAAGGGUUCUUUGAGUGAGGGACAGAGGAUGCACGAAAAAGAAUCUAGCGAUGAGGAGGUUAAUUUGGAUAUUGAUAUCAAUGAAGAUGAUGAUGACGAAGAGCGCAUCAUUGAAAUGCGACGCAAACAGCGUGAGGAAUUGUUAAAGAAACUCGGGACUAAUCACAGUGAUACCCCAAAUCAACGCAAAUCCAACUCUUAUGAGUCAAGCACUUCACAUACGCGUACUCCUUCACCCUCCGCAAAACAUGAGGUCAAACCAGAGCAGCAGAACGAUCUUGGGCAAAAGAACAUUUCCAUAAAUACAAAGGAUGCCAAGGAAAAACGUAACGAAUGGGAUAUGUUUGCUGACCAGGAUGUGGACUCGAAUUUUGAUUCACCCAACACGAUUGUGCAGAACAAAAACCAAAUUGAUAAUCCAGCAUUGACAGACAACUGGGACGAUGCAGAGGGCUACUAUAGGGUACGAAUUGGUGAGGUACUGGAUAAUCGUUAUUGCGUCAGUGGGUAUACGGGUCAGGGUGUCUUCAGCAACGUUGUACGAGGUCGCGAUCAGGCGCGAGGGUUAGCCAAUGUAGCGAUCAAGAUAAUUCGCAACAAUGAAAUUAUGCAUAAAACUGGUUUAAGGGAGCUGGAGAUACUUAAGAAACUAAACGAUGCCGAUCCGGACGACCGUUUCCAUUGCCUGCGUUUGUAUCGACAUUUUUUCCACAAGCAGCAUUUGUGUAUGGUAUUUGAGCCGCUUGCCAUGAAUUUGCGGGAGGUGCUCAAAAAAUAUGGCAAAAAUGUGGGUCUACAUAUAAAAGCAGUACGCAGUUAUACGCAACAACUUUUCUUGGCACUUAAGCUGCUGAAGAAAACGGGUAUCUUACACGCUGACAUCAAGCCAGAUAACAUUUUGGUCAACGAGAACAAUCUGAUAUUGAAGUUAUGUGAUUUUGGAUCUGCUUCAGCCAUCAGUGACAAUGAAAUAACACCAUAUCUGGUGUCCCGCUUUUAUCGUGCGCCAGAGAUCAUACUUGGCAUACCCUAUGAUUAUGGCAUUGAUACUUGGUCGGCAGGUUGCACCAUUUACGAGUUGUAUACGGGCAAGAUUUUGUUCAGUGGAAAGAGUAACAAUCAGAUGCUUAAAUAUUUCAUGGACGUCAAGGGCAAAAUACCCAAUCGCAUUAUUCGUAAAGGUCAAUUCAGAGAACAACACUUCGACCAAAGUUGCAAUUUCCUGUACCACGAGAUCGAUAGGUUAACCGAACGGGAAAAAGUUGUCGUUAUGCCUGUUGUAAAGCCAACACGUAAUCUGCAGCAAGAAUUGAUAGCUGAUCAAAAUCUACCCGAUGACCAGCAUCGCAAGGUGACGCAGCUGAAGGAUCUACUGGAGAAUAUGUUUGCAUUAGAUCCAGCCAAACGUAUAUCGCUUAAUCAAGCAUUGAUGCAUCCGUUCAUCCAGGAGAAAAUGUAAUUUGCGAACAUGUUGAUGACGACGACGAAGAAACGUAACAGUUUAUGCCUAGCCCUGGGCCGCCAACAGCGAUACACGAGCCUUAACUCGGCGCAUUCCGCUUAUGUGACUACGAACUUGGUCCGAGCAUCUUAACCGCUAUGGUCUUUAAGACCUAUUUGGAAACCGCGCUAAAUUGUGCCACACGAUUUAGUCAGCAUCUUCUGAAGUUUACCGUGAGUCUAGACGCACAGGUACAGUAUAUUAAUGGGUUUGUAGUAAGCUACCCAAUAUAUUGGGAUAAGUAAGACAGGCAUAGGUUGUUUCUAGCUAAAUUUUGCAUGCUUAAAUAACACACAAUAUUUAGCAAAGACUGCUAGCUAGACUUUGUCGACUCAGAGCCUCACUGGAGAUUAUGGUUUCGGAAUGGUAUGGAAUUACAGAUUUCGUGUUUGAUGACAACUGAUUAAGUAAAAUGACUUCGACCAAAUGGUUGUCCAUGAUUUUUUUAUUUUUUUAAUUUUAAAACAAACACUUGAAAGAAUAUCAAAAAGAAAAAGA